rnacentral:lncRNA from 1 species
AGGCCAUCGGAGAUGGUUAAUCCUGCUUGCCCUUUGUCUGAGCCAGUUAGGGGAAGAAGCUGUCAGGGGAGAGAUGAGAUGUUCUCUUUCUAAAUCUCCUUAGAGUGCACUGCUUCAAGUAGCCACUCAUCCCUCCCGUCCAUAUGGCCAGCUGAACCGCAGUGACAGAAAUCAAGAGCAUGGAACAAUUCAGGGACAGAUGUUUCCGAUCCAGGAGGAGACAGGGCCUGAAAUGAAGGGAGAGGGAGCAGCACUUGGACAAAGGGAGAAAGCAAGGCUGCAAUACAUCAGUCCUGACCCACAGUCCCUCCGGCUGACUGCAAGGAGUUUAUGGUUCCAUUACCGAGGAGUUGAGGCACUGAAAGGAAUCCAACAAGGACCCGGAGCUCUCAAAGCCCUGGCAGGACCAACAGCAAUGAGGUCUGUACCUACAGGAGAUACAGCACCACCCAAAAAGAACACGCAGCCACUUCUUGGCAGCCGGCACAACCUCUGCUGCCUUUUCCCUCUGGGGAACAGUUGUAUUUCAUGCCAGGCGUGAGACCUUACUGUUGGCCUGGAGGUCUCCUCUAAACUGAUGUCGGCUGAACAGUUCACCACGUAAACUUGAGUUUUGUUUCUGCUUACCAUUCUCCACCCUAGCAGUACUUCUCUCCGAAGAUACAAAUACUGAAUGCUUUACAAGUGAUCCUCCCUCCAUGCCAACCGAAGCCUGCGUGAACCCAUUCUCAGGAGUGAUAAAGCUUCCUAACGCUAAAAUGUCAUAAGGGCAAGGGGGGCUCCUAGAAAUUCUGGUUUCCUCAGAAUUACUUUGGUUUCUGCAGUGAAGGAAUAGGUGCCGGUGAUGUUUGGGGGAAGGUGGAUUCUGGUCCAGUUUCCUGAUCAAAGGCUCUCGUCCUAGGGCCCCAAGAGAGAGCACUAUGUUACCAGAGCGGUUCCAGGUAACCCAAGCUUCCUGGGCAGUGAGUGGCCAAAUCACAGGGUUCCCUAGAUCUAGAAGGAGGAAUGGAGAAGUAUGCAUGGGCCCAGAUCUCUGUGCCUCUGCUGGUGACAUCAUUUCUGACAAUGAGACCUGCUGUCUUCCUUACCAGAGAGGGAUUCCUAUCUUCCUGGUUUGUCUCAGCUUUGGUGUAUUACAGUUCAUUCCUGUUUUUUAACUGAUGAUUGUCUUCCCCCUGUCUUGGAUCUGCUUAAUAGUGUGGACAUGGUUAGAGGUGAAACACGGAUAUGUCUGGUUUGUUUGACAAAAGAAAGAAGGAAUUAUUUUUCAUCUGGUGGAUAUUAAUUCCCUAAGAGAAAGCUCUUCAGCUUACAUCAUACAAUGCAAAGGAAACAACACAUAUACAUGUUAAGUUUUAUUUUCCCAGGGAAAGGAAUGUCUGUUAUAAAAUCGUUGAUUUAAAUGGUGCAGUAGUAAGCUUUCUUAUGUAGCUUUGCUCUGUGCUCACUGCUUUCUUUGUUAUUUUAAGAAUCAACGGACCUUAAAAUUUUCAAUUUUAAGGGACAAAACUAGUUUGUGGACUUGAGAAUUCACAGAUAGGUCUUAGCCUAUAAUCAAUUAACUUUUUUUUUUCUCUUGUUCUCAAGAGGUGCUUUACCAUCUGUGAAUGGUCUUUAUAUUUAAAAAUAAGCAAAUUUCCCUUUUGUGGUUAGAAGACAGCAGUAUCAUGUUUUCCUCUUCUAUCCUUAUGUCUACAUGACAUUUUUAAAAAGUGAAUAACUGUAUAAAGGAAUUCUGUUUAUUCCUUGGAUUCUCAAUUCAUAACAGGUCUAGCCUGUAUGUGCCUUGACAUAGGCAGGCGUACGGCUCACGUUACAGAACUUCCUCAGGAUUUAUGCCAUCACUGAAGACCAGAGGCACAUGAACUAAUCAUUGGCUUCCAUCGACUCUCAUGAAUCAUCGCACAGGUUCCUGUUCCAUCCUCUGUUCUGAGCUAAGAUAACUCUUUAAGUCAAAGGCAGGUCCAAUGAGUAAAGAAGGAACAAAAAUCAAUCACAGCCACUUCGCUUUUCUAACUGUGAUUAUUUGAACAUAUCGAAAAACCUCCAUAAGGUAUGAAAUUCUAAUUUAGUAAAAGAAAACAAGACGUGUUCAUAUGGCACAGAGUCUGGAGACUGUGCUUACGAUCAUGCUCCUAUAUUCCAAUUCCAAGCUAGAGCAACAAUAUAUACAAGCGGGUACCUACGAAGGCCUAAGAAAUCGCUGUCAUUUUGUUUUGUGUUACACCUCCUCUUUGCAAACAACUAUGACAUAACUGAGAAAAAGGGUUAAAGCUCACCUACAUUUUGCCUUUGAAUAAUCCCAAACAUAGAGGCAUAUGAAUUGAUUAUAUCUGAGUCUUUAAAUCCAAUAACUAUGCUAACAUUCAUGCCAAGAGUUCUUAGCAUGGAUCUCACAAAAUACAUAGCAAAUUGAUAAAAUCAUUCACAAGCUCCAAACACAGGGAGAACACAAGUGUACUUCCUACUUAGUGUGGACGAUUCAAGGAGUGGGUGACAAUGAUAGUUCAUAAAGUGGACAGUCAUUCAUAGAACUGUUUCUAAUACUCAACUUAUACCCUAUUAUCUGGAUAAUUGCAGCUAAAAUUGCAGAAACACACAGUUGCACAUGUGGAAUGCUGCUGCAGAAUUACUCAACACAAGGCUAACCUCGGGAAGUUCAUCUCCUGUAAGUUUGCCCAGAUGCUUUAAAAACAUAUCAACAAACACUGCAAGAAAUUAAACAGCCUGCAGGACAAAUAGUGAAAGAAGAAGAUGGAAGAUCUGCAUUCAUUUUACCAGAAGAGGUUCCUUCUUGCAUACCAAGACAGGCUUGUGCUGGAAUGUUUUCACGCUGGGAUUGCUCACAGGAUGAAAAGCAGUCACAAGAGAAAUGGUGGCCCCAAUGAUCUUGUAGUUAUUAAAUCUCAGAGCUACAAGAUUUGUACAUUUUCUUUGAUUCUGCUCCAUAAAUGAAGAAUUCAAAAUAGAAGCCUGGUGGUUUACCUGAAAUACUAAUACCUAAAAUGUACUAACCAAUGCUGCAUGUGUUUAUAUGUAGCAUAUACACAUACAUGCUAAGUAGAUGCUUGUAAGGAGUGUGUGUGUGUGUGUGUGUGUGUGUGUGUGUGUGUGUGUGUAUGAGAAAGAGAGAGAGAGAAUGAUCUCAGUAUUUUCUUUUGAAAAUGCACUAAUAUCUUAUCUUUAGAUAGCUUUUUAGAGUUUCAGAUCACGUUAGAUAAUUUUCCAAAGUGCUCUGCACAGAACACUACUCCCAAGGUCAGAGAAGAUUGGAAAAACUGCUCCCUGGGUUGUCCUCUUGGAAGUCACAAUGUCUGUCAGUGCAUCUGUGCUCUAGGUAGUCUUGUAGAAAAAAACAAACAAACAAAAAACAUUUUCCUGAACGAGUGUUUUGCAGCCUCCCUUGCUGCCGAGCUCCCUGCACCUCUCAAACAGGACCUCAUACCUCUGCAUGAGAACUGCUCUUCCCUCAUGACACCACUUAGGGAAACACCGACUUGGAACAGUACUAAUUCUGCAAAAUGAUGUUUUGUUUAAUAUUUUCACAGCCAGAACACUUCAAUGAUAUGUCUUAAAAUUAAUGAAUAACCUACCCUGGAUUUUUAUUUUGGAAAUUGUUGAAUACACUCAUGCUGAAAUCACGGAUGCUCAGAUACUAGUUUAGACGUGCUCCACUAUUAAGCAAUUAAUGCUUAAUCCUCAUUCCAAAGAAAACCUUUUUUUUUUUUUUACAGACAGCUAAGUUAAAGUGAAAAAUAUUUGUGAAAUAAACUGCUAUUGUUAGAUAUUAAAAUUAGAUGUUAAAAUAUUAUUAUGACAGGCUGAAAUUUUGAUUAACCUCCUGACACUGUACUACUUCAAAAUAAAUUUGAUGCAACCAAUGUCCAUCCUUUGCUUUGUAUCACCU